GUCACAUCACGUACAAAAUACCUGUUCCCGUACGAUCGCCGAAGUUAAGCAAUGUCAAACUUGACCAGUACUAAGGUGGGUUACCGCCUGCAAUG